GACGUCGUUUUAUGUACCUCGCGUCUGAUAAACACGAGUUCGUGUUGACUUCCUUGUCCUCGAAAAAUGUAGGCCUUAAUUAUCUUCUGUUUUAUUUCCCAAAAAAUAGCGAGGAGAGAGAGAUGACCGGAGAAGAGGUGGUGGGCCCCGCUGGCCCAAAGGUCGUUCGCCUGCUCUACUUCGUCGGCGCCGGAUUCAUAUGCACGGCGGCGAUCAACAAGUGGAGAGAUAUUCAACGGAAGUCCGUUCAAUUACCGGAGAAGCCGUCCAAUGCGGUACAGAAAGCAGUCGAAUGAUAAUCAAUCGCCUCGUGUUUUAGGGUUCCAUCAAAGCUCAGUGAGUAAUUAAUACAUGAUUCAGUGGCUUCUUUGCUGCAGAAAUUUGUAUUUGGAGAUUGAAAUACCUAGUAGUUUUUUUUUUUGUAGACAUUUCGUGAUCCAAUGCAAUUAAAGUCUGGACUUUUUUUCUGUGAUUUAUACUUAUCAAAAAAAAAAAGUCUGGCCUUUUCAAUGCGCAUAUGUAUGUAUAUUUGCUCGAAUUUUCAAAAUGUUGAUGAGGGUCAGGGGGAAGUUAGUUUAGUUGGUGUGGAUUUUGAUGUUUCGAUGAUGUUUAGGUAAUGUAAAUCUAAUGAAACGAGGGAAGCGGUUGAAUGUGAAGAAUUUUGUCAUGAA